UGGGGAAUAUUGGUCAAUGGGCGCAAGCCUGAACCAGCCAAGCCGCGUGCAGGAUGACGGCCCUAUGGGUUGUAAACUGCUUUUGUACGGAAAGAAACCCCCGACGUGUCGGGGACUGACGGUACCGUGCGAAUAAGCAUCGGCUAACUCCGUGCCAGCAGCCGCGGUAAUACGGAGGAUGCGAGCGUUAUCCGGAUUCAUUAGGUAUAAAGGGUGCGUAGGCGGGUUUGUAAGUCAGUGGUGAAAUACUGCAGCUUAACUGUAGAAUUGCCAUUGAUACUGCAAGUCUUGAGUACAAUUGAGGUAGGCGGAAUGUGUGGUGUAGCGGUGAAAUGCUUAGAUAUCACACAGAACACCGAUUGCGAAGGCAGCUUACUAAACUGUAACUGACGCUGAGGCACGAAAGCAUGGGGAGCAAACAGG
rnacentral:rRNA from 1 species